CACGGGGGGAGCAAGCGUUGUUCGGAAUCAUUGGGCGUAAAGGGUGUGUAGGUGGCGCCGUAAGUCGGGUGUGAAAUUUCGGAGCUUAACUCCGAAACUGCAUUCGAUACUGCGGUGCUUGAGGACUGGAGAGGAGACUGGAAUUCAUGGUGUAGCAGUGAAAUGCGUAGAGAUCAUGAGGAAGACCAGUGGCGAAGGCGGGUCUCUGGACAGUUCCUGACACUGAGGCACGAAGGCCAGGGGAGCAAACGGG
rnacentral:rRNA from 1 species